AGAGUUUGAUCAUGGCUCAGAAUGAACGCUGGCGGCGUGGAUAAGGCAUGCAAGUCGAAUGGGUUUAGACCCAUGGCAAACGGGUUCAGAUAACAUAGGAAUUUACCCUUGAGUCGUGAAUAAUCUGGAGAAAUCCAGGCUAAUACACGAUACCCUCUACGGAGGAAUGGUUUACCGCUCAAGGAGAAGCCUGUGUCCUAUCAGCUUGUUGGUGAGGUAAGAGCUCACCAAGGCUAUGACGGGUAGGGGGUGUGAGAGCACGGCCCCCAACAUUGGAACUGAGACACUGUCCAUACUCCUACGGGAGGCAGC
rnacentral:rRNA from 1 species